GAUGAACGCUGGCGGCGUGCUUAACACAUGCAAGUCGAACGAGAAAUGGAGACGGACACCUUCGGGCGGAAGGCUUCAUUUCGAGUGGCGGACGGGUGAGUAACGCGUGGGUAACCUGCCUCAUACAGGGGGAUAACAGUUGGAAACGACUGUUAAUACCGCAUAAGACCACAGCACCGCAUGGUGCGGGGGUAAAAACUCCGGUGGUAUGAGAUGGACCCGCGUUGGAUUAGCCAGUUGGCGGGGGAACGGCCCACCAAAGUGACGAUCGAUAGACGGUAUGAGAGGAAGGGCCGAGACAUUGGGACUGGGCCACCGCACAAACUCCUACGGGAGGCAGCAGUGGGGAAUAUUGCACAAUCGGGGAAACCAUGAUGCAGCGCCGCCGCGUGAGUGAAGAAGUACUUGGGUAUGUAAAGCUCUAUAAGCAGGGAAGAAAAUGACGGUACCUGAGUAAGAAGCCCCGGCUAACUACGUG
rnacentral:rRNA from 1 species